UGGGGAAUAUUGCACAAUGGGCGAAAGCCUGAUGCAGCGACGCCGCGUGAGGGAUGACGGCCUUCGGGUUGUAAACCUCUUUCAGUAGGGACGAAGCGCAAGUGACGGUACCUGCAGAAGAAGCACCGGCUAACUACGUGCCAGCAGCCGCGGUAAUACGUAGGGUGCGAGCGUUGUCCGGAAUUACUGGGCGUAAAGAGCUCGUAGGCGGUUUGUCACGUCGUCUGUGAAAUCCUAGGGCUUAACCCUGGACGUGCAGGCGAUACGGGCUGACUUGAGUACUACAGGGGAGACUGGAAUUUCUGGUGUAGCGGUGGAAUGCACAGAUAUCAGGAAGAACACCGAUGGCGAAGGCAGGUCUCUGGGUAGUAACUGACACUGAGGAGCGAAAGCAUGGGUAGCGAACAGG
rnacentral:rRNA from 1 species